UUUUUCCCGUUUUUUCCCUGUAAUUUCGCUGUUGCUUUUUUUUAUAUAGAAUUUAGUAUUCUGGUCAUGAACAUAGACUACACCCACGAUUCACGUUUUAUAUUGCUUGAAUUCGACUUAAAUCUAUAAAUUACAGAACUGAAUUACUUCUCGAUCUGUAGCUUCUUCAGUGGAGCCUUGGCCCUAGGAUCAACUUUAGAUCAAUAUUAGCUCCACCAGUAGACCUCAAAAACACCUUCAGCAAAACUACCACGUAGAAUUCAAGAACUACAUUAGCCUUUGUCUAGGAAUAGCUCGAUGACGGUUCGACUUGCACUAGUAUCAACAAUGCAACAAGACAAACUCAGACACUACUAGGAUAAGCACCAAUACUGGUCCUAGGAUCAACUCUUAUCUACUAGGAUAAGCACCAAUACUGGUUUUAGGAUCAACUCUUAUCUAGGCCUUCUAGGAUAAGCGCAAUACUGAUACUAGGAUCAACUCUUAUCUAGGCCUACUAGGAUAAGCAUCAACACUGUUCCUAUGAUUAUCUCUUAUCUGUUAGGAUAAGCACCAAAACUGGUCCUAGGAUCAACUCUUAUCUCAAGGAUAAUCACCAAUACUAGCCCCGGGAACAACUCUUAUCUACUAGGAUAAGCACCAACACUUUUCCUAGGAACAACUCUUCUCUACUAGGAUAAGCACCAACACUGUUCCUAGGAUCAACUCUUAUACUAGGAUAAGCAUCAUAAGCGCCAACACGUUCCCUAGAAUCAACUCUAAUACUAGGAUGAGCACCAACUCUGGUCCUAGGAUCAUCUCCGAUAUGAAGAUAAGCACCAACUCUGGUCCUAGGAUCAUCUCCGAUAUGAA
rnacentral:sRNA from 1 species